UGAGAUUUCUGUUUGAAUAUUUAUGAGGUGUAGUAAAACAAAUACAGCAUUGUUUAUUUCGGGAAAAAAGUUGGAAUUCUGAAAAGCGCCAUAGAAGGGCCGUUAUGAAUCUCCAAAUUCAUUUGCCUUCCGAGUCGUUCCCCAAAUUACCAAACUCCUGCAGCUUAAGUUGACCCCACAAAAUUUGGUUUGGAUGCCAGGUGUGGUCACAACUCCCCGUAGCUUUGACUGUAUCUGGUUGGCAAGGUGGUACGCGUUAUAUAUAUUGCUUUAAUGACUUACCACAAUGCCUUAAUUUUAUCGGCUGAUCUCCAUUGGGAAUAUUGAGCGCUGAAGCACUGACACCUCUCGAUAGGGGAUUUACUGAGAUAGUAUGUAAAUCCACAAAUCCGCAACCUCGCGGACUAUCCUUUGUGCCACGACAGUGGUACUAUUUGCUGGGCAUUGUGACACAAAAAGCCACUUCUUUAAUCGACUUGUACUGGUUUGCGCUCGUUGCUGUGAAGUUGGUUACUAUUCGUCUGUCCGGAAAGCCAUCUUUUCUGAUUACUAAACAUUAUGCGAUCUCUGCCGGUCUUCGUUGUUUUCGGCCUUUUGGCUUGUCAGGUCCUGGCCUGGCCUGAACACCGGACCUUCCAGGAGUUUCCCGAGCUCAAGCGUCGUUUCCAGAGCCAACUGAUUGAAGAACUGAUCUCUCGUCUUCUGGAAGACAAACGGCAAAUGCAACCAGCCUGCGCUGCCGCCGAUGAUUUCUUCUGCUGGGAUACUGGUUGCAAUGCUGAUCUCGGUGACUUUGGAUCUGCAUUCAUCGAGUACAAACCAGACGGGGAUGCUUACAAGUUAUCCAUUGGACUUACAUACUGCUGUAAUAGAGAAGGAUUCUGGGAUGAGCACGUGGACUAUGUGAAGACAGUGGCCAGUCUGUCUGGUAAGCUUCCAUUCAGUUCAAAAACGUUCACCAUCAACGGCCAGCGGUUCAAGAUGACCGUUCAAAAAAUUGUGACUGGAGGUGCUGAUCUGAAGGUAGAAGGUGUGUGCGUUGAAAAGGUGAACUACAUGUAGCAGCGCCCUUCCUUCUCGGAAAAGAUUUGGACACAAGAAUGAUUGGAAUUAGAAACCGUACGGAAAUUUAAUUUUAUUCGUAAUCUGGUUCCCUUAAGAAACCUAUGGAGUCUUGAUAGGUAAUCCACAGUAUCCGCGGUGUUCUUAGUUGGGGGCUUAAUGGACUUUUUCUUACUUGUUUCUAACCGUUUAAGAAUCUCUAACCCCACCUCAAUACCCCAACCCCAGAAAGGCAAUAUUAUGACUGUUUCUAAAGUGGAAAAACUCUCCAAAGUAUCCCCAAACAAAAAAUGCACAAAACUUGUUUUCUUCUUUUUUUAUUUUGAUAUUCGAGAUGUGGUUAAGGUUUAGCACGGUCUUGUUGGGCUGACAUCUUUUUAUCAAUUGUAGCUCAAACAUUUGCCGGAGAAACACAUACGCUUAAUGGGAGGUAACAGUUUGGAGCAACAGAGAAAUAUGGAAAAAAGGAUUCACAAAUCGAGCCCCUUCAGUUCUCCAUUGCGUGAAGACAGCGAUGAAGCCAUCAAGCUAUUGCGUAUUGUUUAGUUUGCAUUGAAAUCCAGGUCAGUCACCUAUACGCUUCAUCUGAUGCCAUCCUCUUAUACGGACAAAGAGACAUAAAACCUCUAAGCCUAGGAGCUAUCCGAUUUUGUCAAGUCAUCGACUACGAAGUGACGAAGCCAGGCUCUUCCCGGGCAGUUAUAGUACCCUCCUUGUCUACGGCACUGAGUUGGUGUAACGGACGACUCCCUCAAGAAACUUGUUCAAUGAGCAGGGGCAGAUCCAGCGGGUUGAGGACCAACCUCCUUCUGCUUAUGACAAUUUUUCAAGAAGGGACCUGGGUCUAAAUGUUGGUUUUAAAGGGGUUUGCGAACAGAGAAUGGGAUGGGUUACGAACAAAUAUUUCCCACGCCUCCUCAAAAACUCCUGGAUCCGCCCCUGAGGUCCUUUUAUAUAUCCACAGUUAACUUCUAUAUGUCAACAGAAAAAGCCCCAAUAACAGGAAAAAUAAAUCCUGAUUUUGAUCCUCAAAACAAGUUUUUCCUCUGACAAUUUGCUUCUGUCCUUGUUAAAACAUGAGUGAGAGACAGGUGAUUUCUGGAGUUAUGGCGUUUUCGUUCUCAGACGGUAAGCCCCAGCAUAUGAUG
rnacentral:misc_RNA from 1 species